GACGUAGGGGGCGAGCGUUGUCCGGAUUUAUUGGGCGUAAAGGGCGCGUAGGCGGCCGCUUGCGUCGGAUGUGAAAGCCCGGGGCUCAACCCCGGAACAGCAUCCGAUACGGGGCGGCUGGAGACCGGGAGAGGAGGGUGGAAUAGCCAGUGUAGAGGUGAAAUUCGUAGAUAUUGGCUGGAACACCGGUGGCGAAAGCGGCUCUCUGGCCCGGUUCUGACGCUGAGGCGCGAAAGCGUGGGGAGCGAACAGG
rnacentral:rRNA from 1 species